rnacentral:lncRNA from 1 species
GGAAACCUUCCAGAACAGAGUUACUUCAUUAUACCCAUCAAGAAAGAUGGUCCCAAUUACUGGUCUCCAAUGGGAAGGAGCAUCCUACAAUUCAUUCUGCACAUAAAAGCUAAAUCAGUCUUCGGCAUGACAUGGUGGAAAGAAUACACACUCGGGUGUCAGAGAGACUCCAUGUUGCAUCUCUGCUUAGCAAUUCACUGACCUCGGGUAUGUUACUCUACCUUUCCUAACAUCGCCUCAUCUGUAAAGUAGGAAUAAUUGCAGUCCCUAACUCCCAAAAUAUUUGUGAUAACUGAAAGAGGAAGUACCUUUAGCAUGACAAUUGGUAUCUAAUAAGCGGUCAACAGAACCGUUGAAGCUACUAAGACAUCAUAGGAAUUUAUUGGAAAAUGACUUUUUCUGAUUAUGUCAUUGUUCUUAUAGGACCUUAGUUUCCUUGUGAGCAGAAAACAUUUUUGAUUCUUCUCUGUUUCAACAAAAGCACGUGGAGUGCAGUGUAUAGGCACAUAGUCAUACAAUCCUACCUAUUAUAAUUAAGGCAAGAAUCCCAAUUUUACUAUUUACCUUAUAGCUAAAUAUAAGGGUGGAAAGACUUCUUCCAGAUGGGGCAAUUGUGUAAACAGACAUGUGGAAGUAGAGACAGGUGAGUAAAACGUAGUGAAUGUCUAUGCAAAACGUUCUGUGUGCGAAGACGCCCCAUGCUAUCAAGAUGAUGAUUUAUGUCGGGAAGCCAUGAGAUAACAUUGUGGAAAGGGAUUCCCAGGAGGGCCCAGAAGGUUCUAGAAUUCUAGGUUAUGAGUGCAUGAGCACCAAGGUGCUACUGAGAGUUUUGGGGCAGAGGGAGUGACGGACUGCACCAGCCAAGAGAAACAAUGUCUAUCCGUUUAGGUCGAGGAAGGACAGGGCACAAUGCCUUCAGAGCUCAGAACAAAUCACCCGAUUCUAUUUCCCGAAUUGUUCAUCUUCUAUGAGGCAUGAUGAAUGCUGACUUUAGACUCCUUCCUUUGGUUCUGCCAGCAAUUCAGUAGCUUAAUCUUUUUCCAAUCUCAGCUGUUGCCUAAUAAUCUGUUCCAGGCACAGAAAUUUCAUUAACUCCUCAAUGAUGUCCACAGGCUUUGACCAUGGAUUUCAUCUGUUAAGCUGCUUUUAUUUCAGCUACUAUACAA